UACAUGUGGGGCAAGCGUUGUUCGGAAUUACUGGGCAUAAAGGGUGCGUAGGUGGCUUGUUAAGUCAGGGGUGAAAGUUUUCGGCCCAACCGGAAAAUGGCCUUUGAUACUGGCGAGCUCGAGCGCGUGAGGGGUAACCGGAACGAGCAGUGUAGCGGUGAAAUGCGUAGAUAUUGCUCGGAAGGCCAACGGCGAAGGCAGGUUACUGGUACGCAACUGACACUGAGGCACGGAAAGCGUGGGGAGCAAACAGG
rnacentral:rRNA from 1 species